ensembl:lncRNA
GUGUCGCCAUGGUAACGGCGCGGCCUAGCUCAAAGUUAUUCCACUUUACUCCAUAUUUACUCCAUAUUUACUCCAUAUUUACUCCCAAUUAGCCCCAAUUUAACUCCAUUUUACACCAGAUUUACUCCUCAUUUACUUCUCAUUGGCCCCACUUUAAAUCCACUUUACACCAGUUUUACUCCCUGUUUACAAAGGCUUUACUCCACAUUUACUCCAUGUUUACACAGCAUUUACUCCACAUUUACUCCACAUUUACUCCACAUUUACUCCCACUUUACUCCACAUUUACACCUUGUUUCUUCUCAUUGUUCCUUAUUACCACAUUUUAACUCCAUUUUACACCAGAUUUACUCCUCAUUUACUCCUCAUUGGCCCCAUUUUAAAUCCACUUUACACCAGUUUUACUCCCUGUUUACACAGCCUUUACUCCACAUUUACUCCAUGUUUACACAGCGUUUACUCCACAUUUACUCCACAUUUACUCCCACAUUUACUCCCACUUUACUCCACAUUUACACCUUGUUUCUUCUCAUUGUUCCUUAUUACCACAUUUUAACUCCAUUUUACACCAUAUUUACUCCUCAUUGACUCCUCAUUGGCCCCAUUUUAAAUCCACUUUACACCAGUUUUACCCCCUGUUUACAAAGGCUUCACUCCUCAUUCAUUCCAUGUUUGCACAGCCUUUACUCCACAUUUACUCCCACUUUACUCCACAUUUAAAGUGUUAUCAUUACUUCCAAUUUACUCCCUGUUUACACAGACUCUACUCCACAUUUACUAUAUAUUAACACCCUGUUAACCAACAUUACACACUUACUCCCACUUUACUCCACAUUUACUCCUCAUUACCCCCAAUACUCCAAUUUACUCACCAUUACUCCACAUUUACUCCCACUUUACACCCAAUUUACUACAUGUUACCCAUUACUCUGCAUUUACACCCACUUUACUUCCCAUUUACUCCACAUUAACCACCAUUACUCCACAUUUACUCCCACUUUAACCCCAUUUACUCCCCAUUAUCCCCAUUACUCCACAUUUACNCCACCAUUACUCCACAUUUACUCCCACUUUAACCCCAUUUACUCCCCAUUAUCCCCAUUACUCCACAUUUACACCCACUUUACUCCACAUUACCUCCAUUACUCCGCAUUUACUCCAACGUUACUCCAUAUUUAUUGCCCCAUUACUCCACAUUUACACCCAAUUCUCAACAGCAGCUUCCGGUUCCUCUCCUCCCCCCCCCCAAAAUGGGUCAGAGGUCAAAGGUAACUCAAGGUCACAGGUGACCCCGAGGUCAGAGGUCAAGGGUCACACAAGGUCAUAGGUCAGGGGUCAUCUGGGGGAUCCUGUAGGCCUUGCAGCUCCCUCAGGCCCUGCGAUAACAAAGGGUUAAUUAAAAACAAAAGGUUAAAUGUCCUUUAAAGGGUUAAUGAGUAUGCUAAUUUAUGCUAAUGAGGGGGGCGGGGCUUACCUCCAGCACCAAUCGGAUGUGGGCGCGGAUCUGAGCUCCGUCCCUGGUCAGUGAUUCGCUGAGCCUGAGGGAGGGGGCGGGGCUUAGCAAAAGGGGGCGGGGCUUAGCUUCCUUUGGUUGUUAUAGCAGGGGGCGGGGCUUAUGCAGAUGGGAGGGGCUUGUGUGGGUGUGGUCUAUGCAAGGGGGCGUGGCCUAAAAAGGGGGCGGGGCUUAUUGGCUUCCAUAGGGAAUCACUGGGGGGAGCUGAGCCAAUCAGAAGGGUCGUGGCUUUAAAGGGGGCGUGGCUUUAAAAGGGGGCGUGGCCUAAUCAAGGGAGCGUGGCCUGUGUAAGGGGCGUGGCCUAAUCAAAGGGGCGUGACCUGUGGUAGCAGCUGGUUUCCCAUUGGUUUAUGGGAAAAGUGGGUGGAGACUAUUAUGGGGGCGUGGCCAAUGAGAGGGAAGGAGCUAAUUAAAAUAGGGGGCGUGGCUUGAGGAUGGUGGGCGUGGCCUGGAUGGAGUGGGCGGGGCUUGAUCUCAAUGGCCACCAAUGAGGAGGGGGCGGAGCCAAUAAAAGGGGGCUGGGCUUCA